CGGGACGGGUGAGUAAUGUCUGGGAAACUGCCUGAUGGAGGGGGAUAACUACUGGAAACGGUAGCUAAUACCGCAUAACGUCGCAAGACCAAAGAGGGGGACCUUCGGGCCUCUUGCCAUCGGAUGUGCCCAGAUGGGAUUAGCUAGUAGGUGGGGUAACGGCUCACCUAGGCGACGAUCCCCAGCUGGUCUGAGAGGAUGACCAGCCACACUGGAACUGAGACACGGUCCAG
rnacentral:rRNA from 1 species